rnacentral:lncRNA from 1 species
CAAACACACCCUUAGUACUGCUGCUGCUGGUAAACUCAAAUUUUCAUCAGCAACAUGUGCCUCAGAAUUUUUUUGGCAUUUCUAUAAACAUAAGCACCCUCUUUUUCCUCAUGUUCCUAUCUACAAGAAACCCUUUCCUCAUAUUCCUAUCUACAAACCUCCUUUUCCUCAUAUUCCUAUCUUCAAAAAACCUUUCCCUCCACAUGAGCCUAUCUAUGAAAAACCUCUUCCUCCGCCUACACCGGUCUAUGAAAAACCAGUUCCUCCGCCUACACCUGUCUAUGAAAAACCUCUUCCUCCGCCUACACCGGUCUAUGAGAAACCUCUUCCCCCGCCUACACCUGUCUAUGAGCCUCCACCAACUCCUGUAUAUCAUAAACCUCUUCCCCCACCUACGCCUGUCUAUGAGAAACCUCUUCCUCCACCUACACCUGUAUAUCAUAAACCACAUCCACCACCGGCUCCGGUCAAAGGUUGUCCACCAAAGGUUGAACACCCAAUUCUACCACCUGCUCCAGUAUACAAACCUCCUCCAGUUCCAAAGCCACAACCAC